AUUCAUUGACUACUAAAAACAAUUCAGAAGUUACUAUGAAAUAUUCUGUAACUAGUUUGAAACUAAGGUAUCUAAGAUAAGUUCUGUAGUGAUGAGAGUGAGAAAUUAAAGUGUCACAUACAGACCAAUAUAGUUUAAGAGAUACAGUUUUGCUUGAGGUCAUGUGAAGAUUUGAACUCCAUACAGAAACCAAUAAUAUGGGUGUAGUUACAACUUCCUGCGACUUCCUGUGAGCUGUGAAAGUGACUCACCAGUGGUUUCUCCUCCCUCUUUUCCUUCUUCACUGUAGGCGUGUAAUAACUUUCACAUGAUCUCACAGCCUUAAAGGAGCCACGUCCAAUUUUCUAUCAUUUUAUUUUAUCAGUACUGUGCAUCAGUCCAAGAGAUGUUUGGCUCAGAUAAAAGCCUCAGAGUCAGAUGGUAUUCUCCUCUUUACAGUUCAGUUCAGAUCAUAGAUCAUCACCUCCUGGAGCUGAAGCUGCAGCCAUGAUCGUCCGUCCUCGUUCUCUCCUCCUGGGUCUGCUGGUCAUCCUCUACCUUCAGUCCUGUGCAUUGGGAAACAGUCUACCUGAACCAUGCAAAUGCUGUUUGAGUUGCUAUUCCAGACCAAUCCCUAUCAGUGCCGUUAUGAAGUGUGAAGAAAUGGGACCUGACUGUCCAAGAGUGAUUUUUACCAUCAAGAAGAAGAAGCAGGUGUGUGUGGACCCCGGUGUCAAGUGGGUGCAGCGGAUCAUGAAGAAAAUGGGUUGUGAAACUGUUAAGACCUGAUAUUAAAGAUGUUUGAAAUUUCUCCCUAAA